rnacentral:rRNA from 1 species
CAGUCGCCGCGGGAAUACAGAGGGUGCGAGCGUUAAUCGGAUUUACUGGGCGUAAAGCGUGCGUAGGCGGCUUCUUAAGUCGGACGUGAAAUCCCUGAGCUUAACUUAGGAAUUGCAUUCGAUACUGGGAAGCUAGAGUAUGGGAGAGGAUGGUAGAAUUCCAGGUGUAGCGGUGAAAUGCGUAGAGAUCUGGAGGAAUACCGAUGGCGAAGGCAGCCAUCUGGCCUAAUACUGACGCUGAGGUACGAAAGCAUGGGGAGCAAACAGGAUUAGAUACCCGGGUAGUCCCUGUCUCUUAUAC